GCAAGUCGUACGAGAAAGCUCCCUUCGGGGAGCAAGUACAGUGGCGAACGGGUGAGUAACGCGUGGGUAACGUACCCUUCGGUGGGGGAUAACCCAGGGAAACUUGUGCUAAUACCGCACUCGCUUCGAGGUGCCAAGUGCCUCGAAGGAAAGAUUGCCUCUUCUAUGCAAUCGCCGAAGGAGCGGCCCGCGUCCCAUUAGCUAGUUGGUGGGGUAAUGGCCUACCAAGGCGACGAUCAGUAGCCGACCUGAGAGGGUGAUC
rnacentral:rRNA from 1 species